GACGAACGCUGGCGGCGUGCUUAACACAUGCAAGUCGAGCGGUAAGGCCCUUUCGGGGGUACACGAGCGGCGAACGGGUGAGUAACACGUGGGUGACCUGCCCGCAGCUCUGGGAUAAGCCUGGGAAACUGGGUCUAAUACUGGAUAUGACUCCACGGUGCAUGUCGUGGGGUGGAAAGCCUUGUGCGGCUGAGGAUGGGCCCGCGGCCUAUCAGCUUGUUGGUGGGGUGANGGCCUACCAAGGCGACGACGGGUAGCCGGCCUGAGAGGGCGACCGGCCACACUGGGACUGAGACACGGCCCAGACUCCUACGGGAGGCAGCAGUGGGGAAUCUUGCGCAAUGGGCGAAAGCCUGACGCAGCGACGCCGCGUGAGGGAUGACGG
rnacentral:rRNA from 1 species